AACACACAUCAAAACAAACCGCGGAUUAAUUGAACAGGUGAAAUAGUUUACAGAAAUACAGUUUUACAGAACAUGGAUGAUGCUCCAAACGAGUUUCUUGGUGAGGACGUUGAAUUCUGUGAUUUGGAGUUUCUGGAGUUAGUAUAUUAUAGUGACGGCUAUGAAAAUACUAAGGGAAACGAGAAAUCUUCCGAAAUAGAUUCGAUGGAAGAUACAGCUGCAAAUGAAGGAUCUAGAGAAAUGGCUGCACGAAAAUACGUCGCUAUUAAUCUAUCAGCAACGGAAUACAGAAAUAAUCGAUUUCAUUUUGUUGGAAUAUUUUACUUUCGUUUGUUUCGAUCACAACAUUUGACGGAUCCGGUAUACAAAUGAGAUGUGUAUGGACGUUCACUGUCCGAAUUACGCCGGUGUGUUUGGGAAAUUUGCAAGGAUUUUGUUUCUCGCGAAGUCGUUGUUGAACAUGUUGAGGCCGAAAAAGAUGUUAGAUGGGCAGUCCAACAGACUCCGGAUGUGACUGAUAUUGAGAAACACAUUCUUCUGAAAUACGGGAAGCCAAAAAGCUAUACACAUUUCAUGAUCUGAGUAUGAACAAAAAGUUGUUGUCGAAAUGGUGUGGAAGUGAAGUUGGAGUCCACAUAUUUAAACAUUCCAUUGCGAUUACAUCACAUACAUCAUGGCAAAUUGUGAGCAAGAAUUUACUGCACUUCGAACAAAAAGACAAAACAGGACCGCCAGCCACUCAGGAAAUUUUCGAUUUCGACGUCAUGGUCUGCAAGUGGCUUAUAAUAUUAACGAGAGUAUUUCGUCAUCUAUUGAUAUUUUUUGUGAAUGAAUUGACUCUCUCGUUAUCAAUGUUUCGGAUGUUCAUGCACAAAUACACGAACUUAAAGCUCAAGUGAGAAAUUCUCGUUCAUUGUUGGACGCAAUGAACUCUUCGAUGCCGCCAGACGAAAACGAAUUCAGCAGAAAUUUAGCAUCCAAAGUUACAAAUGCUAACGAUAAUACAGUUAUUUACAUUUAAUGCGACAUGUCGAGGCACCACUCAGUGUCGCAUUAGAGGAGAUUGUAACCUGUAAUUGGACAUUCGUGCUGACAGUGGUCAGUGUCGACGUCUGGUGGCGACUUUCAAUUCGGCUUCCGAACUAGAUAGUAUAAUCUCUAUUAGAUUAAAAAGCACGAAUGGAGUUUUAAAAUGUUAAACUUUGAAUGAAAAUUUCUACAUUAUGUUAUUUAAUUACUUGAAACACGUAUUUUUGACUCUUAAAUAAACCGAUUGUCUAUACAUUUCGGAUAUUUUGACUGAAACUUUUCAUUAUAUAUAAUAUGAAAUUGUCUUCAAACACAAUUUUCGUAUGAGAUAUUUUCACCACCUGUAAAAAAGUGUAUUUCAUUUAAAUAGAAUGCUAAUUCGAUACGGGUAGGUUAACUUUCAUUCAUAAUUUUAAUUUUGAAUACGUGUUCAUUCCGCCUGAAAAUUAUUUACUAUCUUUGACGCUCCCGAAAUCGUGAAACAAAGCUCAGUGCCGUCAACGCGAAUAUCAACAAACACAGCACAAACGAAAAACAGAAUGUGAAAAACAAGUUAGAACCAGAAAAGAAAAACAGCAAAAUGGACUCAACUUUCGUAGACAUUGGUGAAGGAUACAUGCAAGGAGAAUAUUUAGAUGAACAUUUAGAAGAUCUACUACCGGCCAACAUUCAUUCGAGCUGUUCUAUUGCUUUAGAACAAAUCACCGUCGGCGAAGCUAACAGCAAGCCCGAUCAAAAUGACCGUCCAGUGAAAUACAAGAGACGAAAGUAUAAUGUCCUCACCAUCAAGGAUAAGAACAUAGUCUGUAAAGGCCUUGCCUACAAAGUCAUUGGUUUGUUCUAACGAAAAAACUGCACCCGGACGCAUGUCGUUGAAGGAGCGACUGACAAUUACACCUUGCAGCAAUGCAAGUGGUAGCCACAAAUUACCAUUACAAGUGCUUGGCCGCGCAUCAAAUCCUAGAUGCUUUAAAACGCAAGGCGUGCCUGAUGGGAUACACUAUUUUUCAAAUAAGAAAGCGUGGCAAACUAGUGCGACGUUUACUGAUUGGUCCUACUCCGUUUUCGUUCCUGAAAUCAAACAGAAGGCAGCUGCAUAGAAUAGACCGACUAAAGCGCUUCUAAUUCUAGAUAAUUGCACCGCACAUUGAAGUAAAGAUAAUUUUCAAGUGGAUGACGCAGAAAUUCAGGUGAUCUUCCUUCCUCCAAAUGUGACAAGCAUUUUUCAGCCUAUGGAUCAAGGAAUCAUCAAUGCUUUUAAGGUUAUCUAUAAAUCGAAUUUUCUGCGCCGUGUUCUGUUAGAAACUGACAGCGAUCGCCCAGUUACAGAAGUUAUCAUAUCAUUUAGCCUUUAUUAUGCUAUUCAACUAGCGACUGAUGCGUGGGCCACUGUAACUCCAGAAACGAUUGUUAACUGUUGGCGCAAUCUCUUAAGUGUCAGUCAAGAUCAAAACUAUAACUCGUUCAACGAUUUCACAAUUUCUUCACCAACGAGUGACCCCCGCGUAUUGCUUUCUAAAGUAGUGCAACUCGUCGAUCCAAACUACGAUCUGACCGAAGAAGAAGUUCAAGAGUGGCUAAGCAACUCAGACAACAUAGAUGUAGCGCAAAUAUAUACCGACGAGCAAUUGGCCAUGUAUAUUGCCUCUGGUGGUGACUUUUUCGAGGCGGACCAUGAAGAGCAAGAUUGCGAUGCUAACGAAAGUGCUGAGGGUGAUCUUAGUACUUCGGUUAUAUGUACUCUUGGAGCAGUCAAUCCGAAAAACGCAAUGAUUAUAAGAAGGUUAUCAGCAUCAUGGAUGUACUCAAAAAUGUUCUUAUUGCUGUUGGUGAUGACCAUAAAUUAGUGGAAGUCGAAAAAUGGAAAAACGAACAUGAAAAUGAAAUUAUUCGCCUUCUUGACGAAUAACAAUAGUGAAUUGUAAUUAAGUAUAUGGCAUGAUAACAAAAAUACAAAAUGAUUGAUUGUAACACCAUAAAUUGUUUUGAUUGGAAAAAUGGUUGAAAACACUCCCAUAAAUUUAUCGUGAAAGGCUUCAGUCAAAAUAUCCGAAGUGUAUAGACAAUCGAUUAAAUAAGAGUCAAAAAUACGUGUUUCAAGUAAUUAAUUAACAUGAUGUAGAAAUUUUCAUUCAAAUUUUAUUAUUUUAAAACUGGCUUCGUGCCUUCUAAUCUGAUAUAGAUUACACUAUCGAGUUUUGUCCCAAAUU